rnacentral:rRNA from 1 species
AUUGAACGCUGGCGGCAGGCUUAACACAUGCAAGUCGAGCGGGGUGAUGGUGCUUGCACUAUCACUUAGCGGCGGACGGGUGAGUAAUGCUUAGGAAUCUGCCCAUUAGUGGGGGUCAACAUCUCGAAAGGGAUGCUAAUACCGCAUACGUCCUACGGGAGAAAGCAGGGGAUCACUUGUGACCUUGCGCUAAUAGAUGAGCCUAAGUCGGAUUAGCUAGUUGGUGGGGUAAAGGCCUACCAAGGCGACGAUCUGUAGCGGGUCUGAGAGGAUGAUCCGCCACACUGGGACUGAGACACGGCCCAGACUCCUACGGGAGGCAGCAGUGGGGAAUAUUGGACAAUGGGGGGAACCCUGAUCCAGCCAUGCCGCGUGUGUGAAGAAGGCCUUAUGGUUGUAAAGCACUUUAAGCGAGGAGGAGGCUCUUUUGGUUAAUACCCAAGAUGAGUGGACGUUACUCGCAGAAUAAGCACCGGCUAACUCUGUGCCAGCCGCCGCGGUAA